UUACGGCCAUAUCACGUUGAAACAUCUGGUUCUUGUCCGAUCACCGAAGUUAAGGAACGUCGAUCUUGGUCAGUAGCUAGAUGGGUAACCGUUUGAAAAUAUCAGGUACUGUAAG